UUCACUGGUUGGGUUUACUGAAGGAGUCAAACUUCUUGAGGUGGGACUGACUGGAGUGGACGAAACCGGUUCGGUCAAGGAACCACAAACUUUACCCACCUGAAAGAGAUAUGAAGAAUGAUUAUGUGUUUUAAAAAAGGUGAUCCGUGCUGAUUGCUGAGGAAAUACAUCAACUUUGUGCUGUGGAUCACCGGAUAAGCUUUAAUUGUGGAUGAAGCAGAGUCCUGCCUGGGGUCGUCAAGUGUGUCGUUCGUCGAAUCUGCAGGCCACCGCUCACUCAAACCUGCAGUGUGACGCUGUGUGAAGCAGUUUAUGGAGGUCUGUUUCCUGAACCUGCAGACUAUCCUACGUCUUUGCUCAAAGGCUGUUUUUAUAAAGUGAGGAAGUUCCAACUUUGCAAGGACAGUCUGGCGCUUCUGACUCACAGCCUGACACCAGCUACAACCAUGCGAAAAGUGGCAGAAAAGGACAACUGAUCUUUUCAAAAGCUCUCAUUAUAGAGCAAUACAUUGAAGUGCACUGAGACGGAUCUCCGCGGAUACGCCAAGAAUUUCAACAUUUUUCUUUUCGUUUGCUUUAAACUCGUUAAAUAUUCACUCGGCUGGCAGCAAAGACAGAGGGGACGGCGACAGUGCCCUUUUCCUGUGAACCUGAAAGGGUUUUUGUGCAAGUUUGGGCGGACAAAUUGGAUGAACUUAAAUAUUUGGUUGGGCGAGGACUUAGCGUGGUAAAUUUGAACCCUUUUACGUCUCCUGUUAAACAUACAGUAAAAAUGCUCUGGAGUAGAUAAUGACAUGCAUGGAGUCAGUCUAAGUGUGUGUGUGUGAGAAACAUCUUUCUGAUUGCUUCUUUUUGUACGUUUUAUUCAAACACUGAUUCUGAAAGGCCUUGUCCUAAUCCUAAAGCGCCAAUCAACCUCUAAGAAGCACAUGUACUGCUUCACAGGAGACCUCAGGCAGAUAAAGGAUCAUUCUGUGAGUGUGAAAAACAGCGGACAAAAAGCAAAUCUCCAAGUAACCCUUGUAAAGUCAUGGUGUAUAGCUCAUAACACCACCCUGGCAUCUCCCAUACAUGCGUACAAAGCCACAUCAUGUAGUGAACGUGUGAACCACCUGCUGUGGCAGGGACUUGAUCCUACGACCUCUUCCUCCCGCUGCA